CCUGCCCCUAGAGGUGUUGCGGGUGUGGCUGCUGUGUCCCAUCUAUGUCAGUAGGUGGCAGAGAGGAGAGAGGCUAUGUCUAUGCUCUGUGUUCUGACCUAUGGACAUCUGAAUGAUUAGUAGCCUAACACU